GCGUUGUCCGGAAUUAUUGGGCGUAAAGCGCGCGCAGGCGGUCCUUUAAGUCUGAUGUGAAAGCCCACGGCUUAACCGUGGAGGGUCAUUGGAAACUGGAGGACUUGAGUACAGAAGAGGAGAGUGGAAUUCCACGUGGAGCGGUGAAAUGCGUAGAGAUGUGGAGGAACACCAGUGGCGAAGGCGACUCUCUGGUCUGUAACUGACGCUGAGGUGCGAAAGCGUGGGUAGCGAACAGG
rnacentral:rRNA from 1 species